rnacentral:rRNA from 1 species
AGAAUAAACUGAAGAGUUUGAUCCUGGCUCAGAUUGAACGCUGGCGGCAUGCCUUACACAUGCAAGUCGAACGGCAGCACGGAGCUUGCUCUGGUGGCGAGUGGCGAACGGGUGAGUAAUAUAUCGGAACGUACCCUAGAGUGGGGGAUAACGUAGCGAAAGUUACGCUAAUACCGCAUACGAUCUAAGGAUGAAAGUGGGGGAUCGCAAGACCUCAUGCUCGUGGAGCGGCCGAUAUCUGAUUAGCUAGUUGGUAGGGUAAAAGCCUACCAAGGCAUCGAUCAGUAGCUGGUCUGAGAGGAUGAUCAGUCACACUGGAACUGAGACACGGUCCAGACUCCUACGGGAGGCAGCAGUAGGGAAUUUUUGACAAUGAGCGAAAGCC